AGCAUCAGCGCGGCUUUUAGUUGCGUCGGCUGAGUGCGAUCGGUCAUUGGCCGUGCAACCGGCGGUCAGAGUUGACUGGUAUGUCGUGUAGUCCGUAGCAGUUCGGUGGCGGCAAGCGUGAAGUCUUCGCGAAGUUCCCAUCCAAAGGCGCGCCAACGAUGGACCACCAAGUGGUUCCCAUGGACUACUCCAACCACGACGGCAAAACUCGCAGCCCCCUGCAGGAAAUAUCGACCAAUCAGCAGGCGAGCAAGCGGCGAAGGAGCCUCUCCAAACGUUCCAGCGUCAGAGAUGUGGUGGAGACAGGCAUUGAAAAUGUUGACCUCGCGGAAGACAGUAACGACAGCUCGGCGUCGCUAGGCAAGUGGGGGACAGACGGACGCGUUCCACCCGACGUUCUAGAGGAUAUGGGAAUCGACUACCUCGACGAAUCUCCUCCAUCCAGCGGCGUUCCAUUAAAGCAGCCAUCGCCACCACGUGCAUCGCGCAAGUUUUCCAAGGGACAGAAACGUGAUACACAGUCUGCCUUGGGCACGCCACCGAGGACAGUGCCGGACACCUUCACACUUCACAAGCGAAGCAAGCAGGACGUUGCCAAUGGCAAAGACCCAUUUCUGGACCUAUCUGAUGAGACCAUCCUAGAAAUAUUCAAGUGGCUUCCCAGGCCAACAUUGGCCCUUUGCGGUCGGGUCUGCCGCCGUUGGAUGAUGCUGGCGUUUGACGAAAGUCUCUGGCGGCGGCUUGACCUCAGCAAGAAGCACUUGGGUCCCGGCGUGCUCGGAAAUGUACUCAAUCGCGGUGUCGUCAUCCUUAGGCUAGCGACAGCUGAUAUAAAAGCCCCCGUCUUCACUGACUUGCCUAUGCUGUCCUACCCAUCUGAUGAAAGCUUGUCGGUAUGCAAGGUUCAGUACCUGGACCUGAGCAUGGCGAGCAUCUCCGAGGGCACCCUGUGCGAGCUGCUGGCCAGCUGCUCCAACCUCAAAAAGCUCAGCCUGGAGCAGUGCUCGCUGAACGACCAAGUUUGCAGGUUGAUUGGUUCCAACCGUUCCUUGGAGUGCCUCAACAUGUGCAUGACAAGGGGAUUCACUCACGCGGGCAUCACCGCCAUUUGCAGGGGUUGCAGGAGAUUAACGUCCUGGAACCUCGCUUGGUCUCAGUUGACUACGGCCGCCAUAGACUCCCUUGUGCUGACCGUGACGCCCUCCCUACAGGAACUGAACAUUGCGGGUUGUCGUACUGAAAUGACCAAUGACCAUGUGACCGCGCUCGUGGACCAAUGCCCGCUUCUUGUGGAACUGGACCUCAGCGACGCAACGGAGAUCUCCUGCGAAGCCAUCCGUGCCAUCGUGAAUGGCCUCCCAGAACUGCAACACCUGUGCAUUAGCCGCUGCUACGGCAUCAUGCCCACCACCUUCCUGUCUAGAAACACUCGAAGGCUCUUUGCCCGCAUUCGGCAGCAGUUUGCCCUCCGCCGCGCAUCGGGCUCCGCCAUUAUCCGAUACAUCGUGGCCGCCUUCCGAUGGCCCGCCUCUCGGUCCCCUCGCCUCCUUCGACAGUUGGUCCGUGCAGCUUACUGCCCCGUCUAGUCGAACGCCCUCAACCCUCGCUUCACACGGAGUUUCUAAGGCUCUGCGUUGCAGACGGUCUUUGUGAAGCACUUGUCUGGUGGAUCCGCAUGUCAAGACCCCGGUUAGCUCGAGAUUUCCAGCUAUCUCCAGUUUUCGUGUGUCUUGAGUAGCAUUAAAAUCCAUGACACCAUAAGCCCCACAUUUUGAUGCAUUCGUUAGUGUGAUUAAAUAUGCAUCAAUUGUGGCACAGAAUAAUAAUGUCACUGGCCUAUGGGGGUCGAAGUUUACAUCCAGCGCAUGUUUAAAGCUUUCAGUACAGAAAGGAAGUUUACGCAGCAGCUCCCGAACGCCAUACGAGCGUUUAUCUUUCAUUCACUCACGACUGUACCAUUAACUGUGAGGCAGUUCGCUGCAUUGCUUUCGUAUUCGGUCUUGUGCAAGUCAUGCCUCGGUGAAACUAUUCGUGUAGCAUUACAUUUAAGCAUGCACGAUUGCAAUGCUAUAAGGUGGCAUUGAGUGAUGGAAGAAUGACAAGAAAACCUGGCUGCUGUUCCUGUGAUCAAACUCGUUUCAACUUCAAACGUUGAAGUAGUGUUCAUUUACUAGCUAUACGUACCUUGCUGGAAUUAGUUCCUGUUUCACUGAAGCAGAACAUCAGCUGUGCCAUUCUUCACCUAUGCCGUACCGGACAGCUCCAGGGUAUAAAACGAAAAUUGUGAGUGUAGUGAAAUGCCUGUGCGUAGUAUAUUAGCAAUGUGCAACUAAAACAACACCAUUGAAAGCUCCUUUACCAAAAGAGCGAUAUCCAAAAUUGAGGAGAAAUUCUGUUCAAAAGUGUCGUUGCAGCUAAAAACUGUCACUGAAUAGUGUGCAUGUAGUAUUUCAGGGAUGUUAUGGGCUGGUCGUUUGAAAGUCCCAUUGGCAAGUAGUCUGACAGUCCGAUCUUUUUAGGCGUUGUUCAGAACGAGCACGUCAAAGAAUACGAUUUGCAGUCAUUUCCGUGUGUUCAUCCUGUCAUCUCUGUCACGUGUUUUCCGACAUCUUUUUCAAAACCUGUGCCAAAUAUGCUAGCUUAACGAAGCAUUCCAGCAGGCGCAGCCAUAAGCCAUUGUUGAACUUGCCUACUUAAAGUGCACAAUGAAGCAGCUCCCUUUCACUGAAACUUGCACAGCGUCCCUUGAAUCUAGAUCAUUGAGAAAGUUUCAUGCUUGUUAUAUAUGUGCUAUAGCAGUCGGAAGCGAAGUUCUAAACGAUGCUGCGAAACCAUAGAGCCACGUAGACCCUCCCACUUCGAGGCCAUUGAAAUUUUUUUUUUCAUUUCAGUUACAGUUGUGCGUUGAAAAAUUUGCAGUGAAGUUUGUAUACUUCCUGGAAGGGUUGAGGACAUAUGAUGUCAUUGUUCAGUCAUCUUUCAUUUUUUUUAGAGCUGUUGCUCCUGCACUCGUUUAGGCUGUGCUCGGGAAGUCGCGGCUGUAAGUCAAAACCCCGUGCUUAACACUACGUGAAGAAAGCAAGUGUAGUUGUGGCCAGACUUUCAAUAGUUCUGAGAAAAGCUACUCCUUAGAGGAGCUGAAACUUGUCUUUCUUAGUAGCGCUCGUGCAUUUCGUGCAGUUGCCGAGGCAACCACACUGAAGAUUACGUAGAAGCGCACCAUUGGGUUUCUUCCAUUUGAUAACGGUUUCUUGUUUAGAUUUGUCGUAACACUUGGGAGCUGAAUAGUGAGUCGGCAGACGACGAAUGUUUACCAGAAGGCAGUUUUUCUCUAGGGAGAUGCUGCGCAAAACAUCCAGUAAUUGCCGUAUGCGAAUGCUGAGCAGGUAAAUAAUACUGCUGUGCUGAAUGUCUGGUAUUUUGCCUGCGUGCAGAUGGAAUGCUUCCAUUGUCCGUUUCUCAAGUUUAAGUAUUCUAACGAAGGCACUAAAGUUGUAUUUCCAACAGCAGCAGUGCUGCAUGUGCGUUUUGGCCCUGACAUGGUUCCCAUGAAUUGAUAAUAGUAAGUGUAGUGACUUUGUCAUUCCUGUCGAUUGUAAUCUUGUUGGUCACAAUGAUGUCGUAGCAGAUUGUGUGAAGAACAAGCGCAUUGUCAUGAAACCCUUGUUAAAUAAAAAACGAAAUACUAAACCGGCUUUGCAAAACCAAGUUCAGAGCGAAACAACUUCUGAGAUUCCAGUGGUUACUGAAAUUCCUAUUCAAGUGCAACAAUCGGGCUUAACUGUUCAUCCACGCAUUCAGCAGUGUUCACCUGGCAACAUAUGAAUGUUCCCCCUUUAUGUGCAUUCUGCCGGAAAAGAUGCAGUGAAACGGAAACAUGAACAUUACCAUCGUCAUCACGACUACGGCUGAGUACCAGUUAUAGUAUGUAUUAAUUGAGUCAUGUACAAGUGCCAUUUUUUUUGCCCAAUUGUUUUCAUUCCUAUCAUUGAAGUUCAGCACAUUCCACUACAAUUUCAUGUGCUUGUACUCUUUGUGCCCCUCCCCCCUCAUUUGUUGUUCAACAUGCAUGCCUCUCCUUUUUAUAAAGCAUGUUUUAUGAAUGCACUGUGGCAUCGUGCUUCCAUUACAUUGCUGCAGUUUGAUCAUUGCUCACUUAUUUUUUGCGUCUGGACGAGUAUUAAAAGUGUGUGGUGUGUAUUAUAUUGUGUGAAAGCAUGUUGAAAAUAAAAAUAGCGCAAUGUUUUUCAGUA
rnacentral:misc_RNA from 1 species